AAGCAUAGCUUAAACU
rnacentral:tRNA from 1 species